rnacentral:rRNA from 1 species
CCAAUAGCGUAUAUUAAAGUUGUUGCAGUUAAAAAGCUCGUAGUUGAAUUUCGGGGUUAGUAGGCUGGUCAUGCCACCGGUAUGUACUGGUCUUACUGAUUCCUCCUUCCUGAUGAACUGUAAUGCCAUUAAUUUGGUGUUGCAGGGAAUCUGGACUGUUACUUUGAAAAAAUUAGAGUGUUUAAAGCAGGCUAACGCUUGAAUACAUUAGCAUGGUAUAAUGAAAUAGGACGUUCGAUCCUAUUUUGUUGGUUUCUAGGAUUGACGUAAUGAUUAAUAGGGAUAGUUGGGGGCAUUAGUAUUCAAUUGUCAGAGGUGAAAUUCUUGGAUUUAUUGAAGACUAACUACUGCGAAAGCAUUUGCCAAGGAUGUUUUCAUUAAUCAAGAACGAAAGUUAGGGGAUCGAAGACGAUCAGAUACCGUCGUAGUCUUAACCAUAAACUAUGCCGACUAGGGAUCGGAUGAUGUUAAUUUUUUAAUGACUCGUUCGGCGCCUUACG